rnacentral:rRNA from 1 species
UACGGAGGGUGCAAGCGUUAUCCGGAUUCACUGGGUUUAAAGGGUGCGUAGGUGGGCGAGUAAGUCAGUGGUGAAAUCUCCGGGCUUAACCCGGAAACUGCCAUUGAUACUAUUCGUCUUGAAUGUUGUGGAGGUAAGCGGAAUAUGUCAUGUAGCGGUGAAAUGCUUAGAUAUGACAUAGAACACCGAUAGCGUAGGCAGCUUACUACACAAAUAUUGACACUGAGGCACGAAAGCGUGGGGAGCAAACAGG